rnacentral:lncRNA from 1 species
GUCACUCCAGAUUCUCUAAUGCCCUUUCCACAUAAAUUGGAAAAACAAACAACCAUCCCCAAAGUGUACACUUUGAAGGAUGUAUAUUGUGUAAAGAGACCUAGAUUUCUUUUGACCUAGUUUUCAUAGUCACCGAUUCAGAGCUGGACUAAACUAUAGCAGCCAUCUAGUUCAAAUGAUUCAUGUUACAGAUGAGGAAGCUGGGUUUCAGUGAGUUUAAGUGACUGUGGGUUCCCCAUGGUCUCAUUCAUAGUAAGUGGAACAACCAACAAAUAAAGUCAUUAUAAAUAGUGGGUUAUAAUGAAAUACAUGCUCUAAGCCUACAUCAAACCUCCAAAUCAAAAUAUAGCCCUUGUGCACAAAAUAUGACUUCUUCUCUAAUUCUCUCAGCUGGGAGACAAAAUUAACUGGUUUCCUACUAGUGCAUAAGACUGAACAGGCUAUAAUUUUAAAAAUCACUUGAAUAAUUGGUACCCAUAUUCCUGAUGCUCAUUGAUGUGAGGAGCCUAAACUUUCACUAUCCCAUGUGUAUGUUUGUCAUUUAUCCCCUUCCUCAGGUGCAAAGAAGGCUACCAAGGAGUCCGCUGUGAUCAGUUUUUGCCGAAAACCGAUUCCAUCCUGUCAGAUCCAACAGACCACUUGGGAAUUGAAUUCAUGGGUAAGACAUCACAACUUAUCUCUUCAAUAUUUUGAAAAGCUAUUCUCUACAGUCAUUCCAAAUCAACUUUGACUUCUUAAUUUGCUUACUUUUGAUUGUCUAAUUGCUAGUAUGGUUGAGUUUAAAAAAUACCUCAUUGAUUCCUCACUUAUAUGACUCAAUCUGACUUUAUCAAGCAUAUUUCUAACUUCCUUGUCUUAGAACUAUACUGAUUAUUUGCAAUUUUAUGUAGCCAGUUUUAUAUUUUUAUGUCUUUUGAAUUGUGUUUUCUUAUUGAAUAUUUUAUUUCAUAGAAUAAUAUUUGAAUUGUUUGGCUAUUCAAAACAGUUUUUAUUCCCUAAAGAAAAAUUAGACCUUCCUUUCUCCUCUUGCACUUGGAUUGCUAAAAAGUAAUCAUGGUUCUGUAAUAUCUAAGAGAUUACUGGCUGCAGAUGGUGCUAUUUUCUGUAAUAUCUGACAACAUAACACAUUGGUUAUGAUAAAUUGAGAGCAC